GACGAAUAUUACUAUUAGACUCGUAUAACCCCGGCGAUGGGGCCGGGGGUCUCUACCAGGUGACCGGAAUCACCUCGGCUACGAGGGUGAGCGGCAGCUGG
rnacentral:ncRNA from 2 species